UCUAAGUUGAUUGCCAAACCAUACAAUCCAGAAGCUCUGAGGCUCUCCUGGGCCUGCUGUUGAAUUUCUAAGGAGUUUGCCUUGGAAGAAUCAGACAGCAGGAUGGACUUGGGAGGACACCUAGUGGCAGAGAGAACAAGAGGAAGGACCCUCAACAAGAAGCUGUCCCAAAGAAGUGUGGAAUGCCUCAGCCACCCAGGCCUGUCUUCACAGAGUGCAUAGAAAGGAUGUGAAGACACUCGUGAACCAUGAAGUGCUACACACAUGUUUCUGGUCAUUAUCUUACUAAGCACUGUAAAGGCAGUAGUUGCCUUAGGCAGAGCUAGAAUCCUUCCCAGUUUGGCCCCUUGCUGGCUGAGAGACCUCAGGCGAGGUCCUGAACUCUCCAGGUGUCUGUCUGUUUACUAUAGAACAUCAGCUUCUUAAACUCA
ensembl:antisense Gm12925 predicted gene 12925